rnacentral:rRNA from 1 species
GACGAACGCUGGCGGCGUGCCUAAUACAUGCAAGUUGAGCGAUGAAGAUUGGUGCUUGCACCAAUUUGAAGAGCAGCGAACGGGUGAGUAACGCGUGGGGAAUCUGCCUUUGAGCGGGGGACAACAUUUGGAAACGAAUGCUAAUACCGCAUAACAACUUUAAACAUAAGUUUUAAGUUUGAAAGAUGCAAUUGCAUCACUCAAAGAUGAUCCCGCGUUGUAUUAGCUAGUUGGUGAGGUAAAGGCUCACCAAGGCGAUGAUACAUAGCCGACCUGAGAGGGUGAUCGGCCACAUUGGGACUGAGACACGGCCCAAACUCCUACGGGAGGCAGCAGUAGGGAAUCUUCGGCAAUGGACGAAAGUCUGACCGAGCAACGCCGCGUGAGUGAAGAAGGUUUUCGGAUCGUAAAACUCUGUUGGUAGAGAAGAACGUUGGUGAGAGUGGAAAGCUCAUCAAGUGACGGUAACUACCCAGAAAGGGACGGCUAACAACGUG